CCUACGGGAGGCAGCAGUGGGGAAUAUUGGACAAUGGGGGCAACCCUGAUCCAGCCAUGCCGCGUGUGUGAAGAAGGCCCUCGGGUUGUAAAGCACUUUCAGUGAGGAAGAACGCCUGGUGGUUAAUACCCAUCAGGAAAGACAUCACUCACAGAAGAAGCACCGGCUAACUCCGUGCCAGCAGCCGCGGUAAUACGGAGGGUGCGAGCGUUAAUCGGAAUUACUGGGCGUAAAGCGCGCGUAGGUGGCUUGAUAAGCCGGUUGUGAAAGCCCCGGGCUCAACCUGGGAACGGCAUCCGGAACUGUCAAGCUAGAGUGCAGGAGAGGAAGGUAGAAUUCCGGGUGUAGCGGUGAAAUGCGUAGAGAUCGGGAGGAAUACCAGUGGCGAAGGCGGCCUUCUGGACUGACACUGACACUGAGGUGCGAAAGCGUGGGUAGCAAACAGGAUUAGAUACCCCGGUAGUC
rnacentral:rRNA from 1 species